rnacentral:misc_RNA from 1 species
AACCUAGCACACCUGCGGUGUGUACCUGCGGAAGGAUCAUUAACCUUUCAAAUCAGGGUGCGGCGCGGCCCCCGAGGAGCGGAAACAAUCCUUGGGAGGUAUGCGGGGGCUUCGAGCCCCCCAUUUACGCACGCACGACUGCCAUCCUUACUUUACGAGCACCUUCCGUUCUCCCUCGGCGGGGCAACCUGCCGUUGGAACCGAAUAAACUCUUUUUGCAUCUAGCAUUACCUGUUCCGA